rnacentral:rRNA from 1 species
GACGAACGCUGGCGGCGUGCCUAAUACAUGCAAGUAGAACGCUGAGGACUGGUGCUUGCACUGGUCUAAGGAGUUGCGAACGGGUGAGUAACGCGUAGGUAACCUACCUCAUACAGGGGAAUAACAGUUAGAAAUGACUGCUAAUGCCGCAUAAGCGCACGGGACCGCAUGGUCCAGUGUGAAAAACUCCGGUGGUAUGAGAUGGACUCGCGUCUGAUUAGCUAGUUGGUGAGGUAACGGCCCACCAAGGCGACGAUCAGUAGCCGGCCUGAGAGGGUGAACGGCCACAUUGGGACUGAGACACGGCCCAA